rnacentral:lncRNA from 1 species
CAAUCAACCUCCUGGAGCCUCAGUUUCUCAUCUUUGAAGAGGGAGUGUACUGAGAUUAUUCAGGGAUGGCUUCGGUUUCCGUUACUGAGGCUAAGGCCCAAGGUCCCGGCUCUCAGCACGUUUUGCUCAUGUAGCCCUUGAAGAAUUUUCAGAAAUGUGCCCAUGUCAGGUUUGCAUCUAAAAUCCUUUUGGAUUGGAAAGGGCACAUUUCUGGUGACGCAGCAGCACUCUCACGGGAUCCGCGGGCGAGGCCCUUCCGCCCGGGGCUCGUGGCAGCACAGGCCGUGUGUGGGGGCCUGGCCGGUGCCUGGGUCUGCCCCGGCUCUGCCAUUGCCUGCUGUGUGACCUGGGACUGCUCACGCCACUGCCCCGAGCCUUGGCUUCCUCAUCUUACAUGGCGGUGGCGAGAGCCCCUGACACAAGGCUGUGGCGAGUUUGAACCGGGCGCCUGGAGCAAGGCUUGGCGGGGGUUCACCAGACAGACAAAGGCGACCUGGCUGGGGAGCCAGUCCUUACUUUCAAAGCAGUUGGCAGAACCGGUCUGGCUUCUGUCAGAACUGUUAGGACGUCGGGAGGUGCUCAGUGACGACCCCUCCCUCUGGGUCCUCCUGCCCCGGCCGCUGGGCGUGGAUGAGGAGAAGGCCGGGCCCUGUGCGAACCUUCCGGGCACAGAAUCCGCUGGGCACAGAAUCUGCGACUUCCCCCCGCCGGAGCCCGGCCUUGCCCCGUGCUCUGUGACUGCUUCUGUGUUCGGGGCCCGAGGGUCAGGCAGGGAGAGCUGCACCUCAGGGAGGCUGGGCUGGGGACAGGGUUGGCCCCUCUUGGUGGCAGUCGGGUGGGAAGGGGACACAGUGGAGCCGGGGCCCUGGACUCAGCCAGAUCUACUUGGUGAGAGACUGCAUCUGGCAGUCAGGGAUCUGGAAGUGAAUCCCUUAAGCAACUGCACCACCGCAGCCACCUGGAAAAUCUUCGCAUGCCCGCAGUGUGGAGGUGUCCUAGACGCCAGGGCCCUUAAGCUUCUGUUCUCUCUGGGUGCCUCUGAUGCACACAUCCCGGCUCCCAGGACGAUCUUCCUGCCUGGCGCGGCUGCCUCCUCCACGCCACCCCUCAGUACCCGUGGUCUAGGGAGACUUCAGCAGUUCCCACUCCACACUGCCCAAACAGCUGCUAAAUAUCUGCUGAAGUAAGAGGAAAAGGGCUGCUGAGCUGACACAGCGUGAAGCUGAGGCUGGGUUGCGGAAGGUGCCACAGACUCCACCCGGGUUUCUCUCCUGUUUGACGUUCCUGGGAGCCCAGCCCCCAUGUCGUGAGGAAGCCCACGUCACCUGGAGAGGUCAUGGGCACAGCCACAGUCAGCCACAGCCACAGUGAGCCAUGCAUCAGUCCUGGGAGCCACCCUAGCUAACCCUGAGUGGAGCAGACGCAGGGUGUCCACUCCAAGCCUUGCCCAAAUUUCAACUUCAACUAAGUAAAUGUGGUUUUUUAAGCCACUGCAUUAUGUGGUUUUUUAAGCCGCUGAAUUAUGGGGUCAUUUGUCCCACUGUCGUAGGAACCAGAACGUGCUCCAAGGACCUGUCCCACUGUAAAGACUGGCAGUCGUAUGGCUUCUGUCUCCUGGACUCCUCCCAAGUCUGAACACCUUCCCAACGCCCACAGGUCGCAGCGUAUCUUGGGCAACACCAUCCCCUGCCCCAUCGAGCGGGCACCCGGCCUGUCUCUUGUUUCCUGGAGCUCGCUCAGAGAUAACAGAUUCAUCCGAUCCUCCAGGAAGCGCAGGAGUGGCCUGGCUCCCUGCCCUCCAGCUCUUAGCUCUGCGUCGCUCCUCGUGGGAGCCCUCCCUGCGACAUCUCCCGUUGCCUCUCAGCGCUGAGCUUAACACGGUGGCGUCACCUGGGAGGGCUGAGUCUUUCUGUCUCUUCUCCACCAGCCUCUGAGCUCCAUCAGGGCCCCAGGGCAGUGAUUGCUCCUGUCCUUCCAUAGUCCAGCGCCAAGCCCAGCCCUGCUCUGGGCCUGGACAGUGCUCAGGACAGGACAGUGUGGGAGCCAGCCCCUGGCCCUGACCCUGGCCCUCGGAGCCAGCGCUGUUGCUUCCUUACCUCACUGGAUGUUGCAGGAAUGGGUUAGAGAUCUGAGGAUUGCGGAGAGUUAGGGGUGAGGGGAGAAUGAACCAGUCAUGGGGGCCCCCAGUAUCUCUUAGUGAGCAGAGGGGGAAGGUGGCGCUGGCAGGAAGGAAGGACAGGUGCUGGCUGUGGGUUCCAGCCACUUCCGAGGUGCAGGCCUGGGGAGAGGAGGCAGGUGGGGCCCGCUCGGGGAUCCCCCGAAGAAGUUCUGACUCGGCUCUGCUCCAAUCUGCUCCUGCACAUUCCCCACGCCUGGCAGGCGCUUUUUCUUCUCUUUAAAAGGCACUCCCUGAGCCUGGUGGAAUGAGACAAGCAUGGAAAUCCCUGGGCUGCUCUCAGGGGUGGAAGAGGCUGGGCAUCCCGGCGGCUCAGGGUGGGACUCGGCCUGCAGAGCCGAGCAGGCGCCCUCUUUCCUCCUUUUCUUUUCCUUUUGUCCAUUUAAUUAUUAAAAUGUAAC